AAGUCGUAACAAGGUUUCCGUAGGUGAACCUGCGGAAGGAUCAUUAAUGAGUUAGGGUCUUUUCUAGGCCCGACCUCCCAACCCUUUGUUUAUCAAACCACUUGUUGCUUCGGCGGGCCCGUCUCACGACCGCCGGGGGACCUAUAGACGGUCCUCUGGCCCGCGCCCGUCGACGGCCAACCAUAAACUCUUGAAUAAUCAUGUUUUAUCGUCUGAGUUAUAACAAAAAUAAAAGCAAAACUUUCAACAACGGAUCUCUUGGUUCUG
rnacentral:misc_RNA from 1 species